GAGUGCGCGGUAGCAAUACUGGCGCACGGCGCACGGGUGCGUAACACGUGGGCAACCUGCCCUUCAGAGGGGGAUAACCCCGCGAAAGCGGGGCUAAUACCGCAUGAUAUCGCGAUGACCUCGGUUGUUGCGAUCAAAGCCGCAAGGCGCUGAUGGAGGGGCCCGCGCCCGAUUAGCUAGUUGGUGGGGUAACGGCUCACCAAGGCAAUGAUCGGUAGCCGGUCUGAGAGGAUGGCCGGCCACACUGGAACUGAGACACGGUCCAGACUCCUACGGGAGGCAGCAGUGGGGAAUCUUGCGCAAUGGGCGAAAGCCUGACGCAGCGACGCCGCGUGGGGGAUGAAGCUUUUCGGAGUGUAAACCCCUUUCGACCCGGAAGAAUGUCCCGCAAGGGAUUGACGGUACGGGUAUAAGAAGCCCCGGCUAACUACGUG
rnacentral:rRNA from 1 species